rnacentral:rRNA from 1 species
AGACGCUGGCGGCAGGCCUCAUACAUGCAAGUCGAGCGAUUAAGACUCCUUCGGGAGUGUAUAAAGCGGCGAACGGGUGAGGUAACAGGUGGAUGAUCUACCUUCCGGUGGGGGAUAACGGCUGGAAACGGCCGCUAAUACCGCAUUCGGUUAAUACGCUGCGGCGUAUUAAAGAAAGGCGCUUCAAAGCGCCGCCGGGAGAUGAGUCCGCCCCCCAUUAGCUAGUUGGUGAGAUAACAGCUCACCAAGGCAACGAUGGGUAGCCGAACUGAGAGGUUGAUCGGCCACACUGGAACUGAGACACGGUCCAGACACCUACGGGUGGCAGCAGUAGGGAAUAUUGGGCAAUGGGCGAAAGCCUGACCCAGCCAUGCCGCGUGAGUGAUGAAGGUCCUAGAGAUUGUAAAACUCUUUUCUGAGGAAAGAAUGAAUAGGGAAGGAAAUGUCCUUAUUUUGACGGUACCUCAGGAAUAAGGAACGGCUAACUCCGUG